CUACUAACCAUGCUUCUCUUGUGGGAGCUGAGGGGUCGGUAACUUCAACAGGAGCCAGAGUUCCAGGAGCAUGAGAGAACUCCUUCCAUCCUAUGCAGGCGAUACCUUGGGUAACCUGUACAUCUUUAGAAUCCCAGAUUUACACCUCAUUUCUGCAGUCAAUGUACUGCCAUGUGAUAUUGAUGAAAUCUACUGCUCUCCUCAGAAGAAAUGGGUCUUACUGAGUAAGAAACAGUCAUAUAUUUUGCCAAAGGUGUUUUACAUGAGCAGCCUACUGAGGAGAUCAGAAUUCUCUGCCCCUGUGUCUACCCUUCUGGAAUUUUCCUUAUGCCAAGAAGCCUUCUGGACCCCAAGAAGGGAAGACAGGAUAACCCUGAUGUCCAGAAGUGAUAUCUCCAAAAUCACAAAGUUUAAAACAUAUGAUUUGAAGCUGGAAGAGUUUGGGAACAAAAUUAUUGUUAAAGGAUCCCGUUCAUGUCAUCAUCACCUGUAAUGAUGGCUCUAUGGAUGUGUACGCAUGGGAGGAGAGAAGCCUGCUGCUCAGGAAGUGUUAUCGACUGCAAAACAGGAGACAUUUGCCACCAUACAGCUUCAUUAACAAAACGCUAUGUGAUGAUGUGAGCAUAAUUCAGUUGAUGAUAGAUGGUCACGGCCCCUGGUUUCUGAUGGCAUAUGCCUUGAAUAUCUGCUCUUGAAAACUUAGCAGGUUGUGUGUCCUCUUCCUCAAUAAUAAUAAAGGCCUAUUUGC
ensembl:lincRNA